rnacentral:rRNA from 1 species
GAUGAACGCUGGCGGCGUGCUUAACACAUGCAAGUCGAACGGAAAGGCUCCUGCUUGCAGGGGUACUCGAGUGGCGAACGGGUGAGUAACACGUGGGUGAUCUGCCCAGCACUUCGGGAUAAGCCUGGGAAACUGGGUCUAAUACCGGAUAGGACGAUGGUUUGGAUGCCAUUGUGGAAAGUUUUUUCGGUGUGGGAUGAGCUCGCGGCCUAUCAGCUUGUUGGUGGGGUAAUGGCCUACCAAGGCGUCGACGGGUAGCCGGCCUGAGAGGGUGUACGGCCACAUUGGGACUGAGAUACGGCCCAGACUCCUACGGGAGGCAGCAGUGGGGAAUAUUGCACAAUGGGCGCAAGCCUGAUGCAGCGACGCCGCGUGGGGGAUGACGGCCUUCGGGUUGUAAACUCCUUUCGCUAGGGACAAAGCGCAAGUGACGGUACCUGGAGAAGAAGCACCGGCUAACUACGUG